rnacentral:rRNA from 1 species
UACGAACCGUCCAAACGUUAUUCGGAUUUAUUGGGCUUAAAGGGUACGUAGGCGGCGCUAUCAGUCGGGUGUGAAAUCCCUCGGCUCAACCGAGGAACUGCGCCCGAUACUGUAGUGCUUGAGGGAGACAGAGGUAAGCGGAACUGAUGGUGGAGCGGUGAAAUGCGUUGAUAUCAUCAGGAACACCGGUGGCGAAAGCGGCUUACUGGGUCUCUUCUGACGCUGAGGUACGAAAGCUAGGGGAGCGAACGGG